CGAGCGGGCGUAGCAAUACGUCAGCGGCAGACGGGUGAGUAACGCGUGGGAACGUACCUUUUGGUUCGGAACAACACAGGGAAACUUGUGCUAAUACCGGAUAAGCCCUUACGGGGAAAGAUUUAUCGCCGAAAGAUCGGCCCGCGUCUGAUUAGCUAGUUGGUGAGGUAAUGGCUCACCAAGGCGACGAUCAGUAGCUGGUCUGAGAGGAUGAUCAGCCACAUUGGGACUGAGACACGGCCCAAACUCCUACGGGAGGCAGCAGUGGGGAAUAUUGGACAAUGGGGGCAACCCUGAUCCAGCCAUGCCGCGUGAGUGAUGAAGGCCCUAGGGUUGUAAAGCUCUUUUGUGCGGGAAGAUAAUGACGGUACCGCAAGAAUAAGCCCCGGCUAACUUCGUGCCAGCAGCCGCGGUAAUACGAAGGGGGCUAGCGUUGCUCGGAAUCACUGGGCGUAAAGGGUGCGUAGGCGGGUCUUUAAGUCAGGGGUGAAAUCCUGGAGCUCAACUCCAGAACUGCCUUUGAUACUGAGGAUCUUGAGUUCGGGAGAGGUGAGUGGAACUGCGAGUGUAGAGGUGAAAUUCGUAGAUAUUCGCAAGAACACCAGUGGCGAAGGCGGCUCA
rnacentral:rRNA from 1 species